GUGGGGCCAUGCAAGGCCACAUCGCAGCUAGGCUGGAUGAGGUCAGAGGCAGCUCCUGGCCGUCUGUGUCCCCACAGAGUGAGGGCAGCCAGGGCCCCAGGGACAGGCUAGAGGAUGAGGCAGGGCCACUGUGAUGCCGAUAGCCAUGGGCACCCUUUGGGCAGUGGCCUGAAGAGGGGCCUGCUGGGGGGGGGUCUCUGCUCUAAUUCUCCCAUCAGCGCCUGAACCAUGGAAGUUCUGAACCCACCAGAUGCAGAUUCCCAAGCCCCCAAGACAGGGGUCAGGGGCAAUUCAGUGGCUAUGGCAUGAAACCUGGAUGUGCCACUAUUUAAUGAGCACCCGCCGUGUGCCAUGCACUAGUGCUGGGCACUCAACUCAUGUCUCACUUCAUCCUCAGGCCGUGCAGUGAACGGUUGGGGCUCGAGUUCUGGAAGCAGACAGACCCGGGUCGGAAUCCAGGCCCCACCCCUUGGGUGUCUGUGCACCUCCGUGAGUCGCCUCACCUUGCCAACCUUAGUCUCCACGUCUGCUAAAUGGGGUUAAUAACGGCACCCAUCUCCUGGGGGGAACGUGGUGAGGAUUCCACAAGAGAUCACGUGUAACUCGCUCAACUCAGAGCCUGGCACUGGGGAUGCUUAUUAAGUGACCACAACAAUGAUGACAUUAGCACCUACUGUGUGUAGGGUGCGUGCUGAGCGCUUUUCAUGGAUGAUUUUAUUAAACUUAACAACCACCCCAAGGAGGAGGAAUUACUAUUAGCUGCCCUCUCACAGGUAAGGAAACCAAAGCUCAGAAGGGUGAAGUCACUGGCCCAAGGUCACACAGCUGUUGAGUGGCAGAGGUAGGAUUUGAAUCCAGGUCUCUCUGCCUUGGAGGCCUGAUUAGCAAACCCCUGGCUUUCUGGGUAUAACAGUCCACUGGCUCAUCUCCUUGGUCCUUGAAGACAUACGGUUGCACGAAGCUUAAUUGGAGGCCCAGAGAGGGCAAGGCAUCGGCCUGGGCUGCAGACAAGAGGUGUGGAGCUGGGAGUAGAACCUGGAGCCUCUGGCCCUCUGGUCAGGCCGCAUUCAGGGCCCUGGAGGUCAUUUCCAGCUCUGCUCUGGCCUGCUGAGGCAGGAGCGCUUGUCUCCCCGCCCUGCAUCUGCCUCACCCUCUCUUGUGGAACGUUCUAGGACCCACAGGAGCUCCUGGGCUUUUCUUCCCCGGGCCACUGAGGUGUGCGACUGAGGCCCCAUUCUCUUCUCUUCCACUGAGAGGUAAUUUGCCUGGAACACGCGAGCACUUUAAAAAUGUGGUCACAUUGCAACCGCCUGGGUUACCAUGGUGACCUCACUUUGAAUUUGUUCCCCCGGGGGAGCUGGUAAUAAUGAACGCAGCACUUAGCGCUGGCUGCCCACAGCGAGUGCCAGUGCGGGGGAGCAUCCCAGAGCCCCUCCACCCUGCUCCGAGACCCAGUUCCCCAGGAGAAGCGGUGCCUCUUUCUUCCUCCAAGCAGGAUCCUGGGGUUCCCCAAGCAGGCAGGGAGGGGUGAGGAGAGGGGACACGCCAACCCUGCCCACCCCUCCAGCAGCCCCAGGAGCCGCGUCACUGGAGUUGGACUAGGUUGGAGAGCUCCCUUUUACAGACGGGGAAUUCAAGGCUCAGGAGAGUCAGCAACUUGUCCGAGGCCACACAGCAAGGUCCAGGUAGCAUCAGCCUCGGGUCAGAAGUCUGGUUUCCUAAGCUUCUGGACUGGGCUCUAGGGGCCGCCAAGGGUGGGGACGCCCAGCUCCAAAACUUCUCCUCGUCCCCAGUGCCUGGAACACUACCUUUCGUGAGCCAUUUGAGGGGGGUGAGCAUUGCCCUCUCUGGGCCCCAUGGAGGGGCAGUGAACCUUUGCUCAGUCCUGCCCCUUCAGCACAAAAUGGAUUAGAAGACGGUGCAGGGUGUCGGGGACCGGGCUCGGAGGUUGGGGAGGGGAGCCUGGGAGGGCACUCAGACAGGGCUAGGCCUUCGCUGCUUCUGGAGACGGGCGCCAAGAGGAGAAGUGCAAUAGAGGGGGCCUCCAGCCCACUCCUCCCCAUCAUUUCUUGGUCUCUAUCCUCUCCGGCUCUUGUAGAAAAAGAAGUAGAAAGACAUGUAGUAAAAAGCGCAGGAAGUCUCUUGUUGAAUUCAGACUCCAUCUGAUUUUUCAGAUGGGGAAACUGAGGCUCAGAGAGGCCUUGGAGGGGUCCAGAGACCCACAGCAGCAAGUGGUCAGCAGGGAUUCGAACCCCCAUCAGCCCAAGUGCAGCAUCUGUAGUCCUAACCAGUACGCUUGGGCUGGGUUGUCUCCGUACUCCACAGUCCCCUUGGGGGCUGGGCUGAGGGCAGGGAGGUGUUAGCACCCAUGCAGAGCUGAUGGGAAAAUGGGCCUGAGGCUCUCCAGCGCCAGCGAAGCCAGGAGGCAGGGAGGAGGAGCCGGUGUGACUCAGGCAAAAGCUGGGAACUCGGGAGCUUCAGCUAUGGAAGCUGGGUUUUAGCAAAGGCGUGGGGAGAAGGGGAAGGCGGGGGAUGGUUUUGGUAUUUCUGUUCACGUCCAAAGAUUGAGCUUGCCGUGUGUUGUCAUCUCAAACAAAAUGAAACAAACCUGUGACUUUGGUAUGCUGCCACCAGGUGGCGGUGUAAUUUGCUGCUCAUAUUCCAUAUUAACCUCCAUCAAAAUGAAAAUUUCACUCAUUUUUCAAAACAGAUAAAAGUCUAAAGAAUUAGAUUUAUGCAUUAUUUUCACAUAAUUUAAGAAAAUUAAGAUAACAUCUUAGGGGAAAAAAAUAUCUGAGAUACGAGUUGCUUUGUCCUUCCCUGACUCUUACCUCUUAUCUUUCUGCCUACUCUGACCUUGAGCACUGUCCUCCCUUUUCUGUCUGGCUCAGGCCAACAACAACCGGAGCCCAUCCCAAACAUUUUCAUGCCAACUCGACACACUGGACGGAGCAGGAGACAAGGGGUCAGCUGCCAUUCCUCACCUCAAUUAGUCUAGCUCUGGAGGGAGCUGCUCAGCACCCAGGUCACCCCGUGUCUGUACAAUAGACUUUCCAUCUAGCUGGCUCUCCUCCCACUGGGUUUUAACUCGUGACUGCCUGCCACGCCAGAAGGUUAAUUCCUCCAGGCACAGACCAUGGCCCUUUCAUCUCUGGAACUGCCCCAGAUCUUAACCACAAUGCCUGGCACAUGGAUGAUGAUCAGCAGUUUGUUGAGUGAAUAAAUGAAUUCCCAUUUCACAGAUGAGGAGACAGGCUCCCAGAGGGAAAUAAUGACAAUGAUGAUGAUGAUGAUAAUAAUGGGUGUUUGUUACGUACCUACUAUAUUCCAGACAUACAUUAACUCGUUUAGUUCCCACAAUAAUUCUAGGAGGUAGACACUAUUAUUAAGCUCAUUACACAGAUUCAGGAACUGAGGCUUAGAGACAUUUGGGACGUGGAGCUGAGGGCAGGCACCAUCCGUCCAUCCUUUCAUUUAUUCAGGAAAAGGCAGCUAGAUGUCCAGUACCCGUGGGAUCCCCAUUCCGUGCUAGGCCCGGUGGUCAGUGAGCACCAGGGGGCGAGUGUGGCCGUGUCUCCCCUCUUCGCCUUGGCCAGCCUCUGAAGGAGGUUCUCCACCCAGGGCCUCGUGUGCAACCCGAGACAGCCGGCCAAGAAUGGCCUCAGCCGCCUUGAACUUCAGGUCUCUGCACCACGUGGCAGUUAGGGCUGGCGAGAAGGGAAGCGUUCUCUCCCUCAAAGCUGGUAAUGUCUCCUCGGUCUCAUUGGUCCUCACUGGGUGUGUUUCCACCCCUGAGCCAAGCAGGGUGGCCUGCAGGGUGCCACUGGUGGAUUGACUCCGCCCCUGGAAGUGAGGCCCAAGCAGGUCAAGGUGAGAGGCGAAUCCCCUAAGGAAGGGCAGGGUGGGGGGAGGAAGGUGCACGAAGGCCGUGGAUGCGCGGAGGCGGCGCCUUUGCCCACUCACCCCAGUUGCCUGAAGCUGAGGAGUUGCAGACCAAUCCCCGCCUCCCUCAAGGGAGCUGCUGGCAACUGCACGUCAGGAAACCUGCCUCCUGGCCAGCUCCUCCCCUCGGCUGUGUGAGCGAGGCCGGGCCUCAAUGAGCCCACCUGCACAGAGCCAUGGCCAGGGCCCAACCGAGGCCGAGGCCCAAGGGCGCCUUGCUCGCUGGACCGCUCCUUGAACCUUGAACGUGUGCGACGUCCUGCUGGGGCUGGAUGCUCUCCCGCUGCCGGCCUGUGCCCGCAGCCCCUCCCUCCAACCACGGAGCGGAUUCCCAGGUUGGAGGGUGUGGGUCUCCAGGAGGCUGGCGGGUUCAAGGAGGCCGGAGGCUUCUCCACUCCCUGCCUGUGGGACUCUGCCUCCCCGAGCCUCAGUUUCCUCACCCAUGAGGGCAAGAUAACUCUACUAGUCCCUGGGACCCGUGUGGGACUAAAUGAGCACAGGUCGUCGCUGGGCCUGGCUCCGGGGAGCCCUCAGGGGGAUUUUCUCUUUCAUUGGGAGGGAGUGGAGGGGAUGGAUGGAAAGAGGAUGAGGCUUCUAGUCAGAUUCCAGUGUGCGCUCUUUCAUCCAGCGAACAUUCAUUGGGUACCUACUACCCUACCAGGCACGAUACUAGGUGCCGGGGGUACAGCAGCGAACAGGACAGCCCCAAAUCCCUGCCAUCAUGGAAUUGCCACCCCUGUCAGGGCAGACGGACAAAGCACAAAAUAAGUAAAAAUUAAAAAUAUGAUCAGUAGUAAUGAACACCAGAAGGAUGAAGCAGAGAAGAGGGAUGGAGACUGUUCGGUUAGCUCGUCGGGGCAGGGCUCGCUGGGAAGGAACAUCUGAGCAAAGGUCAGAAGCAGGUAAGGAAAUGAGUCAGACCCUCUAAACACAAAGAAAAGAACCGUCGCUGCCAAGAGGAGCCUAAAGAGACAGGACAAUGAAAUGUCAUGUGGUUUCCUGGAUGGGAUCCUGGGACAGAAAGAAGGACAUUAGGAAAACAUUGAGGACAUCUGAAUUAAGUAUGGACUUUAGUUAAUAAUGUAUCAAUGUCGAUUCAUUAAUUGUAACAAAUAUACCAUAUUAAUGUAAGAUGUUAACAACAGGGGAAACUAGGUUUGGGGUAUACAGGAACUUCUGUAUUAUCUUAUCAAUUUUUCUGUAGAUCUGAAACUAUUCUAAAAUAGAAUGUUUAUUCAAAAAAAGGUGGGAGUGGCUAGUGCAAAGGCCCUGAGGCAGAAGUGCGCCUGGUGGGAAUAGCUCAGAGGCACUGGUUGAGGGAAUGUCGGGGGAGAGGAGGUCAGAGGGAGGCGUGGGAUGUGUUGUGUACAGCCUGGUGGGACAUGCUAAGGACUCUCUCCUUGGCUCUGAGGUGGAUAUAGGACCACUGGAGGCCUUUGACACCAUCUGACCUGUGUUCUGACAGCAUCUCUCUAGCCGCUUUGUUGAAACUGGGCCGUGUGUGGCAAGGGCUAGAGCAGGAAGAGCGGUGAGGAGGUUCUUGCAGAAGCCCGGGUGAGAGAGGAUGGUGGUCAGACCAGGCUGGUAGCAGUGGAGGAGGUGAGAGCAGGUCAAAUUCUGGAAAUAUUUUGCAGGUAGAGCUGACCGGAUCUGCUGACAGGUUAGAUGUGGGGUGUGAGAGAAAGACAGGAAUCAAGGAGGAUCCAGGGACAGCCUGGGCGACCGGAAGGAUGGGGAGGACAGGUUUGGGGCGAGAUGAGGAACUCAGUUGAAACACAUGGAGUCCGAGGCGCCUGUGAGACAUCCAGAGGAGAUGCCGGGAGGACCUGGAAAUACGAGUCUGGAGUUGAGGAACCAGGUCUGAGCUGGAGAUUAUGGGCGUGGGAGUUACCAGCAAAGAAACAGAAUUUGGAACUCUGAACCCCGGGCAGGCCAGAUCACCUGGAGGGGAGGGAGGAUGAAGAAGACACACACACACACACACACGCACGCACGCACGCACACACGCACACACACGCACGCACAGCCAUUCAAAGGAGCUGAGAGACGUAGAUGCAUUAGCUCAUGUCAUCUUUGCAACAAACUCCCCAGCCCACUUCUUGUACGUUCCUCCUAAAACAGCCGCGAGGGCCAGUGCAGCGAGGGGUGAGGUCAAGUGUUAACCAGUCCAGUGCCUGGCAGGUCCCUGUUCACCAAAUUGUCAUGGCAACCCUGCGACCGGGGGGACUAUUUUCAUCAUCCCCAUUUGACAGAAGAGGAAAGGGAGGCAGGUACAGAGACUGUAGGAGACUGGCCCAGGCUUGUCCAGCAGAAAGCUUCCUGGAGGAGGGGCCACACCAAAGCCUCUGCUCUCACAAGGAAUCGGGAUUAUUCAGAGUGGGGGCCGUGCAUGGGUGGAGCAGCCUUGCCCACCGGGGCCUCCCUCAGGAAGGCCCCCCCCCCAUGCCCACCGCACCAGCCUGCCGCUGCUCCUGCAAUGCUCCUUUGGUUCUUGGGGACAUUUUUGCUCCAGUGUCGGCUGCUGGAAUGACACAGUCUCAGGAGAGGGAACGUAUUAAAACUGGCAGUUCCCACCUGGGGGCUCAGAUAUACAGAGGCCCGGGAAGGUGUGACACGCACUCCCAGGCUAUUUUUGAUGUUUCAAAAAGGCUGCACAGGUGACUUGAAAGGUUGAAUUCUCUUGCUUUUUGGCUCCGCUGGCCACGGUGGUCGGUCAGAAGUUCUCUGAGCAGUUAUGUCCUGGACUGAGAAGAUGUUGGUAGUGAUGAAUUAAUACAUGUAAUUACUUUUGUUUGUUACAAAAUCCUUAAACCGUGGAGCUCAUGGGAAAGGAAGAUAACGACAGCGGCCUGGGCGGCAGGAAGGCCAGCACUCAUUGCCUGGGCCUUUGGCUGCUGGAACCACUGGGGUGGUGGCUAUUUGUGGGCUUCUUGGCCCCCAGCCCAGCAGCACCCUGGUUUCUCUUUUGUAAGCAUCUCUCCGUGUGAGCAGCCUGGGGCAGGGGACACCAGCUCUGUCUCCCACCAGGAAGCGGAGCGGGCCCAGCAUCUCCUCCGCAGGCUCCGGCUGUCCAUCCCAGGGUGCAGCCAAGGGGACGGCAUAGGACUCAAGCUGGGACUCCUUCUCUGUGCUAGUCAGCCGAGGCCUGCUAAUGAACAGCCCCCAGGUCUCAGUGGCUUACACCAGUAACAUGGAUCUUUGCUCACGGGACUGAGGCUUGGCUCUGACUCGGCUCAGCUCUCAGCCAGGUGUGGCCGCUGUCUGGGAAGUACUGUUCCUGGCAGAGAGAGCAGGAGGCUGACGUGGACACCAGGUGCAGUUAAAGCUUCUGCUCAGAUCCGGCACAUGUGAUGUCCCCUCCCACUCCGUAAGCCAGUUCGGACACCCAAGAGGGGAGAUGUACAAUGCUCUCGGUGGGGAUGGAUGGGAUAAUUGGGAACAAUAAUACAGUCUCCCAAGACUCCUGCUGGAGAGAAGCUGGGUCAUGGACUCAUUCAUCCUGGUGGCAGGAUGUGGCCCCACGGAGCUGCUCCUGCCUCCGGGAGCCCCAGCUGGCUGACUCCUGUCUUUCCCAGCUGGCUUCUCCAGCUUCCAGAUAACCCUGUAGGGCUCACCCCAUUCCUUUCCACUCAUUCUCUUUUGGGUUUAUACUGGCCACAGUCCAUUUCUAUGGCUUGCAAUAUUAAAAAACCUCAGAUAAGAAGGGAACAUGUAAUAACAACAAAUUUGAGAUGAUGUUAACAGAAUUUCUUUUUGGAAACCUAAGGGCUAACAAUUUAAAUUGGUAAAGACCAGUGUGAUAAACGUGGUUGGCAAGGGGAAUCUAGGAGAAGGGCCUGGAGGAGGCGCAGGGCCAGAAGGAAGAAGAGAGCCGACCAGAGUCUGCAUAGGGAAGGCGGGCAGACAGACCAGCUUCCUUCACAUCCCAGUUUGGCCCUGACACAUCCUCUGAGGCCCCGGGCUCAGCCAGGAUGGACACUUCCUCCUACUAUUCACUAAUUCCCAGUUUCUCAACCCGGGCUGUACAUUAGGACUCCCUGGGGAGUUUAAAAACAAGGCCCGGGUUCCUCCCCAGCCGCGUUCAAUCAGGCUCUCUGGGCGUGGGCCCCGGGCAUGGGCAAUCCUGAGAGCUCCCCAGGUGAUGCUAAUGAGAAACCAGGGCCAAGACCUGAGGCCUAUUUCUCGCAUGCUCCAGGGUGCCUGGAGAGGGACGCCAGCAGCGAGCGGGAUGCCAGGUCUGCAGGAAACCCAAAAAUCCAGAUAAUGCGAAAUCUCUCAAUCUGUAAAUGUUAGACUAACUUAUUCAAUUCUGUGCAGGUCAAACAAAACACAUCUGCAGGCCACUAAGUGGGAACCUCUCUGAGGUCUCUAAGUUUUAGUAUCUUUGCCCUGCUCCCACCCACGUGGCCCCUGGGAAGCCCUGGUGCAUGACAACAGCAGCACUGAGUGUGACAGUGCUGCGCUUGGGUUGGGGCAUCAGCCACGAGCUCCAGCAACAGGUGAACUACAGAGGUGACAGACAGGCAACCGUCUGUCCUCGGUCCCAGCCUUGCUGAGCACAUGACCUACUGUCGUCCCACGCCCCACCUCAGGCAGAGAGCUGGGCAGAAUGGACAAGCAGGAGAGUGGGGGCGAGCUCCAGCUGGGGGUUCUCUUUACCCCAAGCUGCUCACCCCGAGUCCUCUCCUCGGGUUGUUGGCUUAUUUUUGAGUUGUUGUUUUGGCUUUUAAUUACAUUUAAAAUGUGUUUUAAAAACCAUUAUUGUUUUUUAUUAUAAAAGUAAUAUUAAGUUUAUUGUGGAUAAUUUGGAAUAUACAGGAAAGUAUGAAGAGGAAAUGAAAAUCACCUAUAAUCUCAACUGCCCCUCGGGUUCUGAAUACAGAAUGAGUCCAGGCCGUUCUGAAAGAGGGGCCCUACUUCAGUGUGCCGCAGGAGGGGCCCCGGAGGUCUCCUCCCAUGGGAACAGAGUUCCAUUUCCUGAAAGCGGGGACAUUCAACACCUUCAAAAGGCUGGUCCAUCAGACCUUUGAUACUUGUCAGAGACAGACUGUGAGAACCCACCUUCUUUUUCAGAUCAACACUUCUUCCUCAUACAUAAUAACAAAAAUUCCCAUUACAAAGAGAUCCUUAGGGAAGGACCUGUUGGCUGUCGGAGGCAGCAGCUGGAGGUGAGAAAAGACCUCUCACCAAGGCCGCAUGUGCCCUCUGGUGGCAGCUGGAGGGGAUGGCUCCAGGCAGGGCUUGGCCCCGGCCAGCCCUCGCUCUCAUCAGCGGUUCUCAAAGGGGGGGGUCGCAUGACCCACCUCACUUGGGAACUUGUUAGAAACACAAUUUUUCAGGCUCUACCCUAGACCUCUUGAAUCAGAAGCUCUGGGGAUGGGACCCAGCACUUUGUGUUUUAACAAGCCCUUCCAGCGGCUGUGAUGAACCUAAAGUUUGAGAACCAUUGUUCUAGGUAAGUGCGGGCCUGGUACUGGAUACUGCGCCAGAACUGAGGACAAAAGGAAAGAGAACGGUGAGGAGCUGACGAUGCAGGUGCAAGGACCGGGCCAGGUCCCCCUCAGAGGUCCUGCCCACACUCAGUGCGCCUCUCUCUCCACCCUAAGGUGUCUGGAGGCUGUAGAGCUGGAGAACAGGGGCAGAAUGGACUGUCUCCCAGGGCAAACCAGUCCAGGCUUCUUGGACGGGGCUUAAAAGGCCACAGCACGUUGUGAGCUAAGCCUGGGACUCUCAGGACAGAGAUCAGAGGUGUAAUGGCAGGGUGAGUCCAGAGCCCUGGGAAGGCCAUCUGAGGGGAUGUAAGACUUGCACCUCAGGCCAAGGCAGAGGAAAAAGACGCAAACACUGAAGUGGGAAGAGACCAGGAUCCCAGCCAGUCCAAGGAGGGAGGGAGGCAAGAAAGGAAGCGUGGCCGCCUCGGUCAGACCGAAGGAGAUCCUUGAGAGCUUCAUUUAACCAGAUACCUUCCUGAAGGAAAUGCUUUCUAAUUCGGUUACUGUAAAAUGAAGAGUCCCCACAUUGACUCAAGAUGCAGCGGUUCUGGGGAAACGGGGCCUAAGAUGGAUGGGCCCCCAGCAGGGUCCCUGCAGCCAGGUUCCCCUGGCAGAGCAGUUGACUGUUCUCACUGCAGCCAGCUGUCAGGGGAUCUUCACACCCGGCUAAGUCAAGCAGGCGUUUGUAGAGAAAAUCUGACAAGGAAAACAAGGUUUCGCCAGAAACCAGAGACAGGCAGAUAGAAGAUGUCACGGUAAACGUGCCACUUCAAAUCUUCCCCUCUCCUUCUAGACGCAGUUCUGUUUAUACUAAUAGUCACAAUAGCCACCGACAGUCAUUCUAAUUGUACUGUUGAGAGCUGCGCUGACUCACUGAAGACAGGCUACUUCAGAUUACAUGAAAUCUAUUUCUGCUUCAUCUAUUAACCUAUUCAUUCAAUAAAUACUUAUUGAGCACCUCCUACGUGGCAGUCAUAGUUCUGGGUUCUGGGGUUACAGCUGUAAAUAGACAAAAAGCCCUUUCCUCACAGAGCUUACAUUCUAAUGGGGGGAUGAUAAAAUGAGCAAAAUGCAGAACGCUUAGAGUGCUUCACCGCCAGCUUGCCCCUCAUCAAUUAAGCUCUUAAUUCUCAAUUUUCAAAGCCAGAUUGUUGGCUUUUUCUGAACUAGAAGAGAGCGCGCCAGUGUUGAGAGUCUUCAGGGUAGGAAGUCGGCUCAGGAUGCGGCUUCUAAACAACUAAUACACAACCGGAUCACCCAGAGAUCUUGUUAAAAUGCAGAUUCAGAUGGGGGUGCUGGGGAAUACCUCCCAGGGAUGCUGAUGCUGCUGGCCUGCAGUUUGGGACCACACUUGUGAGGAGACUGGCUGCGGGGGAUGGAGCAAGCCCCAGGAACAGGAAUGGCUAGCCAGGUCCCCGCCUCACCAUGCCUCCUGGCCACAGUUCUGGACUUCCAUCUGGCAGGCUCUGGACGGUUCACAGAGCACUCCGUGUCAGCUCACCUAGUUCCCAUAGCAACUCCCUGAGCAGGCAGGGCAGCAAGGAACAAUACUCCUUAAAGGUGAGCAAACAGCACCCAGCCCAGAGAGGUUAAGGGAGAUCACAGAGUGGGUGGUGGCAAAGCUGGGAGUGGGCUCCCAUCUCCGUGCAGGAGACUUGCCUGUGCCACACGGCCUUGCGUGGCCUGCAGCAGAGGAGGGCCUUGAGAGAGGCGCAUGCCCUUGGGCAAGUGCUACAGGCCUGUGAAGCCAGCUCAGCAGUGAACGUCGUCGUGCAUCCCAGGAAACCAGGCAUUCACAGGUCUCAGGGCCCCUUUGAGCUCACCGGGUCUGGCUGGCACGGCCCACCUGAAAACAGUUUCCUAGCUGGCCGGCACUGAACUGCCCUUGGGGACGCUUCCAGGCCACCUCUUCACCUCCCUUCGGUGUGAUGUGAAUUUCGCAAGCAGCAAUCCGGUAGUAGCCGUUAACGUUCAGCCCUCCCAGGCGGCUUGCCAGGGCCCCAUCAAUAUAGACAGGUUCUCCUAGAAAGAUUAACACCGAGAGAAUGGACACACGACAGCUGCUUCCUUAUGUCACACUGGGAGAGGUCAAUAAAGAGAGGUUAUUCAGCCACUCAAAACACACUCAGCCUGCUCUUUCUGUAAAUAUUUAACCAUCCAGAAGGGCAAACACUGCUUUAUGGCACGUAAUAAAUUAUAAUGUCCUAAGACGUGGAGCCACUUUAUGAUGGGUCUAAAAUAACAAAGGCAACUGGAGGCUUCCUUAGUACAAAAGAAUGUGCCAGUGGGAAUGCUGUAGGCAGACAAAUUCCUUCAGGGGAGGUGAAGUCAAAAGCCAAGCCAGGCGCCUCCCCUGGGGAACUCUGCUCAUAGCACUAAGAGUCAGGUGUCUGCAAGAGCCUGAAUGGCCAAGGCUCAGGAAAGCCAUCCAGCAAGAGGGACAGAGGGUGAGGUGCCAGGGCAGAAUUUUCCAGAACUGGAGCCAAGAUCAAUGGUAACAAUGCCCAAGAGAGAAAAAUGGGCCAGGAGAGGCAGCUGGCUUCUCAGAAGAUGAAAACAGAGCUUCUAGAAACCAGGGAGGACUAUGGAAGUGGUUACCUGGGAGGUCAGUCCAGGAUCUGCGGCAGACAGGAAACCCAACGGGGUGCUGGCCACAAAGUGGCCCAAAAAGAUUCUGGAAAACGGGAAGGAAAUUCACUCUUAAGAUUUUCUCACCAACUGCCUUCCAAUCCCAGCCCUAACUUGCUUUUUUAGGAAAGGAGGGUUUUACCUGUAAACAAGUCAGCCUUGGUUCUAAUCAGAUGCCCAAGAGGAAGAAAGAGGGAGGGAGGCAGGGAGAAUGAGAAUGGAUAUAUCUUAAGACAGACUAGAACUAAACCAACUUGAAACCCCGGAUGGAUUCAUCCUGGAGCCUGCGUCUGCCCCCGAGGGACGGAACAGCCGCCUGACAGGCGCUGAGAUGAGGCCCGUUCAGAACAAUCUACCUUGUGGGGCCCUCCUGAAAAGUUAAAAAGGCAGAAAACUAGUUUUAUCUGUAAGAAAAUGUUUAUUCUUUUGAACCCCACGGGGGGGGGGAAAAAAAGAAUGCAGCCAAGACCAAAUAUUUAACGAAAGUAGUGUCCCAAAAGGCAGCAAAACGGGGGAAACCUCAACACAAAGUCAAUGACAAUUUUCCAUGUUUUUGCACAAAGAUGAGAAAAACCCACGACAAUUCUGAGUAACACUUUCAUGGUGACAAUUACACAAGAUGAUUCAAAAAAUGCAAACUGGCAGCAACAUGCACACCUGGCUAAAGCUAGAAGUUUUUUAUCCCAAAAUAAGAUCUGUGAUUAAAAGGAUAAUUCUUUUUAAUACUUGUAUUUGGCUGACUUGCUUGUCCUACUUAAUUUGCUUUAAAUGAGACAUACAUGCCAAUUAACAGGAAAUUUUAGAAGAACUAUGUCCUUCCAGAAUCCAUGGCAAGGAAGCAAAACCAAUCUAUUCGGUUUCUUAAUUUUCCUAGUUUCCGAAUACAGUUUUGCUUUGCCCCUCCCUGUCCCGGCCCCUCCCCCCACCCCCACCCGGACUCUUAAACACCUCCAAAAGUUGCCAGUGCAAACACUUUUCUACCAAUGUAUAAUACACACUUGAAACUGAAAUCUGUGUGCAGAGUUCUGAGUUUAAAACUCUUGAAAAAAAAAAAAUCCUCCUUGGCAGAAGAG